UAGGCUAACUAAUUGGAAGUUCACAGACUGUUCAUAUCCUCUCACAAUAUUCAAACUGGUGAAAUCUUCAUACUGACAAACCAUCAUAAUUGUUUAGGAAAGGCACUAAAUAGCAAGAUAGGCACUGACUGGCAAUGCAGGCACUAUCUAGCAAGGCAUUGUGGAUAAUGAUGGAGAAAUCAUGGAGAACAAGACAAACAAAGACCCUAUCUAUGGAACUGCAGUCUAGUGGAAGAAAGUAUAAAUCUCUAACUCAUCAUAUCUGAAACUUAUUAUCAUCUCCUCCAACACACUCCCUCUGAAUUCU
rnacentral:lncRNA from 10 species